CCUCAGAAGAAAUACCGAUUCUCGUACGAUCACCGUAGUUAAGCAACGCUGGGCCUGUUCAGUACUUAGAUGAGUGACUGCUUGGGAAUACCAGAUGCUGUAAGC